ensembl:lncRNA LINC02881 long intergenic non-protein coding RNA 2881
GAGAAGACAAAAUGAGGAUGUACUCCUCAGAUGCUCACGAAAGGCCUCCUUCCCCUUCUUUGGGAACGACCCCCCCCCACCCCCUCCCCCCAACAGGCAGUCCCAGGCCGCGCCAGGACUCGGCCGCAGGCAACUCGGAGGAGCGGGAGCCCAGGGGCCUCAGGAGGGCCUCGGGAGUGGGGAGCAGCUGUAAGCGCCCUACAGUUUGCAUGGGAAGGCAACAGGGACUUCCCUUUUGCACUGUCUGCGGGUACCGCUGUUCCAGCCCUGAGAGGACGAGGGGACGCUGCGCUGUGGGGAAAGUCCGGGUGGCAGGAGGUGGCGGGGCUCCUGGAGGAGGUGCUGGGAUGCGCUGCUGUGGCUGCAGAGAAAGAAAUAUAAACAAAGAGCUUGAAUUAUUUUGAAAUAACUGUUGGUAGCUGGACUGUGUUCUCUUGACCGCAACAUUGCUCUGGGACUGAAUCGCGUGGGUCUCUGCUCUUCCUAAGUGUUACAUAAGAAUAGCGAACCCAUGAGGUCAGCUUCUAAACCAGUUUCUUCCCAUAACCUCCUGGACCAAGUCCCAAGCAAGGCCCAGAGGAGCUCAAGGACCCACUCUCCCCGGGACACUCCUCGCUCUCUAGUUGGAAGGAGGAAAUGAAUGUCCCCCAGUAAUUGAAGGCUGCUCAUGUUUGUGUAGAAAAGCCAAGCACAGGCCCAUAUUCUAGAGGGUUGCUUGCGGCAGGCGGAAGGCCAUCGAAGGCAAAACGAAACAAAUGAAAAGGCAUCUUUUGAAGCUAAUGGAACAGAUCAGGUGGUCAAAAAUGGAUAAACAAUGGCAUUUGGAGCAAAACUUUCAGCUUCUUCGUUUUAGUUCGACAGCCCCAGGAGGGCAUGGAAGCUUCUCGCCCUCCUCAUAUGUCUUGCCCCAGGCAUCUCUGUGUCUCUCUCCUCUGUAACAUCCUUUAUAGUAAAUGUAAGUAGGCCUUUCCCUGAGCUCUGUGAGCUGCUCUAGCGAAUUAUUCAAGUGUUAGGAGGCGUCCUGGGAACAUUGAUUCGUGGGAACGCCAGUGGGUCAGAAGCACAGGUAAGACCACCUUGCCAUUGGCAUUGGAAGUGGAGGGCAGGCUU